AUUCAGCAAGCAUCGGCAACGGGACCAAGGCUACUCUGUAAGGGGCAGAACCAGAAUUAGAACCCAUGCAGUCUGACCCCAGAGCCUGCCCUCCUACUUCCUGUACCAUAUCCGCUGUGCACUUGGGUUGAGACGCCGUGUGCACUGGGAAGAGGGGCAAGGAACCCUGGGAAUCAGAAAAACCUUGGCUGGAUUCCUGGUUCCCUGCAGUUGGCCCUGUGAUCUUGGGUCACUUCUCACGAUGGGCUGCUGAGUCCUACAGUGUGGAAGAACUUAACUCCUCUCACUCCCACCUCGGGCAGGACCAGGCGUUAAGAAGAUGAACACUCACCUCAAGGAGGCUUGCGUUCAAGUCCCAAAUCUGCCACCUAUGGGCUGUGUGACCAGAGACAAAUUACUAAAGCUCUCUGCUUCCUUCUCUACAAAAC